AUCAUUUGAGCACCUUUGUCUCCGAUGAAGAAACCCUCCCCUGUAUAAAAUUUGUUUAGCUAGUUCUUUGUUUUGUUAUCUCAGGAUUGUUAAUCUUGCUUUGUUUCUUGGCUUUUUUUGGAGAUUUUAUUUGAGCUCAGCCAGAGUGUUGCUUCCAUCGAUGACAGAGAGUUGGUAAUUACUCGGAGUCGAAGCAUGGAGAGUGUUUCCGAUGACGGCUCCAUGGCUAUGUGAAAAUGAAAUCGCCAUGGGCUAACUCUUUUUGACGGAGGAGGAUGUUGUUUCUCUGGAACUUCUGUUUCUCGUUGCCUCUAUUCCGGUUCGUUCUUGUUUCUUAAUUUCUUUGUAGUGUUUAUGGUCGCCUUUGAUUUGGAGUGGUUUGGCUUCUGGUUAUCUUGGUUGCUGUCGCGCAUGCACUUUGCUAUCGUGAUCGUUUUGGUGAUUUUUGUUUAUCUGCUUAUUGUUCCCGUGCUGCAAUAGGUGCGGUUUUAUCGGUGGUGGUUGAGGCGGUGAUGGAUGCUGCUGAGUUUCUUGUAUCGGUGAUUCGGGUGAUUGGAGUGGUGCAGAUUCUGAUGGAGUGGGUCAGACCGAGUACGAGAUUUGGGUUUGAGUCUCUGGGCUAUGGGCUUAUCAGUUAUUAGGCUUCGCUCCUAUACUUGUAGACUUUAUGGCCUUCUAGUAUAACUAGUGCUUAUAAUAGAAAAACGUAAUUAGUAAAAUAUAAGUAUUAAUACAAAAUAAUAUAAAAUUUUAAUUAAUUUAAA
rnacentral:lncRNA from 1 species